GACGAACGCUGGCGGCGUGCUUAACACAUGCAAGUCGAACGGAAAGGCCCUGCUUGCAGGGUACUCGAGUGGCGAACGGGUGAGUAACAUGUGGGAGCUCUGCCCUGCAUUUCGGGAUAAGCCUGGGAAACUGGGUCUAAUCCCGGAUAGGAGCCAUUUUUAGUGUGAUGGUUGGAAAGUUUUUUCGGUGUAGGAUGAGCUCGCGGCCUAUCAGCUUGUUGGUGGGGUAAUGGCCUACCAAGGCGGCGACGGGUAGCCGGCCUGAGAGGGUGGACGGCCACAUUGGGACUGAGAUACGGCCCAGACUCCUACGGGAGGCAGCAGUGGGGAAUAUUGCACAAUGGGCGCAAGCCUGAUGCAGCGACGCCGCGUGGGGGAUGACGGCCUUCGGGUUGUAAACUCCUUUCGCUAGGGACGAAGCUUUUUGUGACGGUACCUAGAGAAGAAGCACCGGCUAACUACGUG
rnacentral:rRNA from 1 species